GCUGGAGUUGUGGCUCAGUGGUAGAGCACUUGCCUACCACCUGUGAGGCAAUGGAUUUGAUCCUCAGUACCACAUAAAAAUAAAUAAAAUAAAAAUCAAGGUAUUGUGUCCAUCUACAACUAAAAAUAUAUUUUUUUUAAAAAAAGAGAAUAUUAUAGGGGCUGGGGUUAUAACUUAGUAGUAGAGCACUUGCCUAGAACAUAUGAAGCCCUAGGUUUGAUCCUUGGCACAGCA
rnacentral:tRNA from 1 species